rnacentral:tRNA from 1 species
GCCGACGUAGCUCAGUUGGUAGAGCAUCUCCAUGGUAAGGAGAAGGUCUCGGGUUCGAGCCCCGACGUCGGCU